GAUGAACGCUGGCGGCGUGCCUAAUACAUGCAAGUCGAGCGAACAGACGAGGAGCUUGCUCCUCUGACGUUAGCGGCGGACGGGUGAGUAACACGUGGAUAACCUACCUAUAAGACUGGGAUAACUUCGGGAAACCGGAGCUAAUACCGGAUAAUAUAUUGAACCGCAUGGUUCAAUAGUGAAAGACGGUUUUGCUGUCACUUAUAGAUGGAUCCGCGCCGCAUUAGCUAGUUGGUAAGGUAACGGCUUACCAAGGCAACGAUGCGUAGCCGACCUGAGAGGGUGCUCGGCCACACUGGAACUGAGACACGGUCCAGACUCCUACGGGAGGCAGCAGUAGGGACUCUUCCGCAAUGGGCGAAAGCCUGACGGAGCAACGCCGCGUGAGUGAUGACGGUCUUCGGAUCGUAAAACUCUGUUAUUAGGGAAGAACAAAUGUGUAAGUAACUAUGCACGUCUUGACGGUACCUAAUCAGAAAGCCACGGCUAACUACGUG
rnacentral:rRNA from 1 species